rnacentral:tRNA from 1 species
UGCCGGGAUAGCUCAGUUGGUAGAGCAGAGGA